UUGACCCUACGGGAGGCAGCAGUGAGGAAUAUUGGUCAAUGGGCUUACGCCUGAACCAGCCAAGUCGCGUGAGGGAAGACGGUCCUAUGGAUUGUAAACCUCUUUUGUCGGGGAGCAAAAGACGCCACGCGUGGCGUUCCGAGAGUACCCGAAGAAAAAGCAUCGGCUAACUCCGUGCCAGCAGCCGCGGUAAUACGGAGGAUGCGAGCGUUAUCCGGAUUUAUUGGGUUUAAAGGGUGCGCAGGCGGAAGAUCAAGUCAGCGGUAAAAUUGAGAGGCUUAACCUCUUCGAGCCGUUGAAACUGG
rnacentral:rRNA from 1 species